CACGGUUAAUUCAUUGUCAUGGAAACUGAAUUUAUCAAAAUGUUCUCGUUCACUCCUAGUGACCCAGUGAGUCGACUUACAGAGCUGGUGAAAGCAUUUUCCUUUGCUGAUCUCUAGCCCAAGGAUACAAAAAUCCUUCAGCUCUUCAUCACAAUCAUCUCUCCUUAUCUCUUGUUAAAGAAAGCUAAUGCUCUGCAAAUGUCUGUGUGGAGUGAGGCCUCCCUUCCAUCUGCAUGUGGUUUUGGAAAAAACACAGGCCGUCUCGACAACCAUCUCGAAGAACCUGCACAAGAGUGUCACAUCCAUGUGGAACACUGUGAGAGGCCAUUAUGGAUCGGUAUGCAAUCUGUAUAUCCCAGAAGGGUUGCAGAAUGACCUUUUUCCUACACUGUUCAACCUCCUCAUGAAACAACAAGCAGAGACAAAGAAGGGAGUGCAUAGUGCUUCCAGAGUACUGCAAAUGACUCCAAAAUCUCUUUCUUGAUGGGUAACAGUUAAUUUAGAUCCCAUUAUUUUGUAUGUAUAGUUGGGAUUAUGUUCUUCCA